AAUUAGUGGCGUGGGCAUUUCUGAAUCAGCGUUUUAAAAUGCUCCCAUGCCUCGUGAAAACUUUCUCCUUCUAAUUGUUUAAACAUAGAAAUUUCCCUUCCUACCU
rfam:Gossypium raimondii Chr06_contig_386, whole genome shotgun sequence.